rnacentral:rRNA from 1 species
AUACGUAGGGAGCAAGCGUUGUCCGGAAUCAUUGGGCGUAAAGGGUGCGUAGGCGGUUUGUUAAGUCAAAUGUGAAAUACACUGGCUCAACCAGUGGACUGCGUUUGAAACUGGCAGACUUGAGUAUAGGAGAGGAGAGUGGAAUUCCUGGUGUAGCGGUGAAAUGCGUAGAUAUCAGGAAGAACAUCGAUGGCGAAGGCAGCUCUCUGGCCUAAAACUGACGCUGAGGCACGAAAGCGUGGGGAGCAAACAGGAUUAGAUACCCUGGUAGUCCACGCCGUAAACGAUGGAUACUAGGUGUGGGGGGUUCGAUUCCCUCUGUGCCGGAGUUAACGCAAUAAGUAUCCCGCCUGGGGAGUACGGUCGCAAGAUUGAA